rnacentral:rRNA from 1 species
AAGUCGGGCCUGCCCACUGAGUAAUAGAAGGGCCGCGGUAUUUAGACCGUGCAAAGGUAGGAUAAACAUUAGUCUUUUAAUUGAGGGCUUGUAUGAAUGGUUUGAUGAAGUAUUGACUGUCUCUAUGUUAUAUGUGGAAUUUAUCUUUAAAGUUAAAAGACUAAAAUGCUUAUAUGGGACGAGAAGACCCUAUAGAGCUUUAUAUAUAUAUAUAAUGCAUGUGGUUAAAGGUUUAGUUUUCGGUUUAUACAAAUAUAUUGUGUUGGGGAGACAUCAAGAUUAUACAAACUCUUUAUUUAUUUAUACAAAGAUUUAUGGGUAUAUGUUCCAAUAUUAUUGUUCGAAAGAUAUCGUUACCUUAGGGAUUACAGCGUUUUUCUUUGAGAGUUCAUAUCACAAAGAAAGAUUGCUACCUCAAGUUUGGAUUAAGAGAAAAAUUACGUGCAGCAGUUAUAUCAAUAAGUCUGUUCGACUUUAUAAUUCUUAC